rnacentral:lncRNA from 1 species
UCUAAGAGCACUUUGUGGUGUGUUAGAAGUCAGAGGGAUCAUGGAGCGCGCAUGAGAAGCAGCUGCUCCCUGGCCCAGGGUGGCAGUUACACAAGGUGCAGGAUUCUGCCUUCAGAAGCACAUGGAUUUCCUCAUUCAUUCGGGAGUGGAGUGUAACGGCCCCCCGUGCCCUGGUGCCACCUGGCAGUGCCCUGGUGCCACCUGGCAGCGCGGAAGCAGCGGGGGCACGUGUCAGCAGCAGUCCCCUCUGCCAGCCGCCUGUGGGUGCGUGAUCAUUCAAUUUUAAAAGACUUUUUUUAUCGGACAAUACGCGAGCAGGAAUUUGAAGUACAUUAUUCUGUUGCUUUGGCAACACCAACUGCUAGAACUUUGCAAGGCUUCACCUAAGAUGUCUGAAGACUAAAGUUACUACGGUUUUUUGUUCGUACGCGGAUAAAGCUUAAUUUCAUGGAGUUGUACAUUCUCGGGCACACUUGUUGCCUUUUCUCUUAACUUGGGGGGAGACAGUCAUGGUUCCAGUUCUGUAAAGCUUGCAAUACUGUUACUUUAACAGAGGAAGCGUAUGCAGCAGUCUGUUAGAGAGUGCAUUUAACUAUGGACCGCAGGAGCAGACAGAGUUUGUCUGUGUAGCAACAGCUCCCCCAACCAAUCAGCAGAGAUGUUAGAGUGGAAGCAUUUUUAACACUUCGUCUCCUUUAAUUUUUAACAUGUUCUUUUCUGAUCCCCCUCCUCCACUGCAGGCUUAGGGUGACGUCCUGAAGCUUUCCCUCUCUUUUGUGCAAUAGAAGUUGGGUGUUAGAAGCAAUUACCAAGUCAAACUAAGCCCUUUUUAAAAUAUUUUAGUUUUGACCCGUAUCUGCCAGGAAAAGGUUCCGGUAUGCUGUUUUGUUCUGUCUUUCCAUAAAUUUCUAUGCUGUGCCAGCUGUUCGGUUUAACUAAGAUGUCCGAAUUUCUGUGUACGCAUAUUUCAAGAGGGCUUA